ACGCUCGACACCUACGGGAGGCAGCAGUGGGGAAUAUUGCACAAUGGGGGAAACCCUGAUGCAGCAACGCCGCGUGAAGGAAGACGGUUUUCGGAUUGUAAACUUCUGUUCUUAGUGAAGAUAGUGACGGUAGCUAAGGAGCAAGCCACGGCUAACUACGUGGCAGCAGCCGCGGUAAUCUGAGCGGGCUGGCAAGGC
rnacentral:rRNA from 1 species